rnacentral:lncRNA from 1 species
AUGCUAAAGAAAAGACCUUGGAUUCAGAUCAACUCGAUCCAAACUAAGGCCAAUGUGAUGAGUUUCCUCUGGUUCUGCCUACACUCAAGGUCAGGGAGAUUAUCCAGGGUGUUUACACCAGGAAUCAAAAAUAUUGGAGGCCAUCUUAGCAUUCUGCCUACCAUGGGAGAAGAGCAGAAAAAAAAACCCCACAAAAUUAUUACUCCCUAAUAAAGAUAAUCAUUGAGUUCUAAGGACUGUAUUUAAAUAUAAUUGACAUCUGGAUUAUAAUAUCGUCAUGUGACAUUAAAACAUGAAAUGGGCCAUUCCCCUUCCAUAGGGGCUCAAAUACACAUGGAUGGUAACUACAGUGAGCGUUUUAUUCAGAUUCACGUAAUCAUGAUGAAGAGGAAGCUAAAGUUAGAAUUUUAUUUACUGCUUCGGAAAAUGCACAAGGAGAACCUUCCUUGUAAAUCCUGACCCAUAGAUGACUGGGAGAACCUUGAAAAUAACUGUCAAGACAAUGUGCUGAUCCUUUCAAUGAGACGAGAAAAAGAGCUGCAACUUCCACAGUACAGAUGAAAUAAGACAUGUGAGGCUGGAUCUCAUCCUUAACAGAGAGCUGGUGGCUUCCAAAUUCCUAAUAACCAGCCACAAAAGCUUAUAGCUCUGACUCUAAUAUGCUUUAUUCAGGUUACUCUCUUUAUCAGUAGCUCACAUUUUCUUAUUAAUUGUAUUUUCUUAAUCUCUAGGAAACAAAUUGCUCUCAUUUAUAAAAUAAAUAGGACCUAACUUGAUUUAACCAUUUCACUAAUGUAUACAUAUAUCAAAACAUCAUAUUGUGUACUGUAAACAUAUACAACUUUUAUUUGUCAUCCAUACCUUAAUAAAUCUGAGAAAAAUUAAAAAUUAAUGGAUGAAUAAAUUAUUUUUUAAAAGAGUUGUUUCACCUGUUUUGUAAUAUUAUAGUAAAAUUAUGGGCCUUGUUAUCUAGCCUUCAUCAAGAGAUCACCUUCAACUGGAACAAAAACAGAGAAAAAAAGACUAUAAGACGCUGUAUUUUUUGAAACUUGGAGGGAUAUGUAAAAACUCAUUCUCUUCCCUUCGAAUAGAAAUUUUGUAAUUGUCAGUGACAGAGACCACAUGGAGGGUCUGAUUAAAAUUGUAGUUAGCAGUUUUAACUACAG